AUGAAGUCGGAAUUGCUAGUAAUCGUAGGUCAGCAUACUACGGUGAAUACGUUCCCGGGCCUUGUACACACCGCCCGUCAAACCAUGAGAGUUGGCAACACCCGAAGUCGGUAGUCUAACCGCAAGGAGGACGCCGCCGAAGGUGGGGUUGAUGAUUAGGGUUAAGUCGUAACAAGGUAGC
rnacentral:rRNA from 1 species